rnacentral:rRNA from 1 species
GAUGAACGCUAGCGGCAGGCUUAACACAUGCAAGUCGAGGGGCAGCACGGAAGUGGUAACACUUUUGGUGGCGACCGGCGGACGGGUGCGUAACGCGUAUGCAACCUACAGACAACUUGGGGAUAACGGAUGGAAACGUCCACUAAUACCUGAUAAUAUCAUUGGAGGCAUCUUCGGUGGUUGAAAGAAUAUUGGUUGUUGAUGGGCAUGCGUAACAUUAGUUAGUUGGUGGGGUAACGGCUCACCAAGGCUACGAUGUUUAGGGGGACUGAGAGGUUAACCCCCCACACUGGAACUGAGACACGGUCCAGACUCCUACGGGAGGCAGCAGUGAGGAAUAUUGGUCAAUGGGCGAAAGCCUGAACCAGCCAUGCCGCGUGCAGGAAGACGGCUCUAUGAGUUGUAAACUGCUUUUAUACGAGGGUAAUUGCGCGCACGUGUGCGUGUUUGAAAGUAUCGUAUGAAUAAGGAUCGGCUAACUCCGUGCCAGCCGCCGCGGUAA